rnacentral:rRNA from 1 species
CGGUUAGACUAGAAGAUCUAGUUAUAUUAUUAAGGUAAAAAGGUGGUUAGAUAUUACUAUAAUACUAUAGCUUUAUUAAUUUACUAUAAAAAAGUGAAAUUUUUAUAUAGAUAGAUAAAUCGAAAAUGGCUAUGAAGAAUUGAAGCCACUAUAGCUUUGGGGGAAACUGGGAUUUGAUACCCCACUAUUCUUAGCUGUAAAUAAAUAACAAGUUUACCAGAGCACUACGAAUAAUAUAAAAAUUUAAAACUCAAAGAACUUGGCGGUGUUUUAGACCACUUAGGGGAACCUGUCUCAUAAUCGAUAAUCCACGAUAUACCUAACCUUUUAUUGCAUCUACAGCUUGUACACCGUUGUCACCAGGUAACCUUUUAAAGAAAUUAAGUUAGCAAUAAAAUUUACAAUAAAUUUAAAUGUCAAAUCAAGGUGCAGCUAAUGAAAAGGAGAGGAUGGGUUACAAUUAAAAUUUAUAAAAUGAAUCAAUUAAUGAAACUUGACUGUGAAGGAGGACUUAAAAGUAAAGUUUAUUUAUAAAAAUAGCUUGAAUUAGGCUCUGAAAUGUGUACAAACGCCGC